rnacentral:rRNA from 1 species
GGAGUCCAGCAUGUGCGCGAGUCAUUGGGACUUGUAGCGAAACCUAAAGGCGAAAUGAAAGUGAAGGCGCGCCUCGCGCGCGCCGAGGGAGGAUGGGCGGCUUCCGUUGGCGCAAGCUUUCGGACCAGACCGCCCCGCACUCCCGGGGCGUCUCGUUCUCAUAGCGAGAAGAGGCGCACCCAGAGCGUACACGCUGGGACCCGAAAGAUGGUGAACUAUGCCUGGUCAGGACGAAGUCAGGGGAAACCCUGAUGGAGGUCCGUAGCGAUUCUGACGUGCAAAUCGAUCGUCGGAACUGGGUAUAGGGGCGAAAGACUAAUCGAACCAUCUAGUAGCUGGUUCCCUCCGAAGUUUCCCUCAGGAUAGCUGGCGCUCGCCUUUGGCGAGUCUCAUCCGGUAAAGCGAAUGAUUAGAGGCAUUGGGGUCGAAACGGCCUCAACCUAUUCUCAAACUUUAAAUGGGUGAGAUCUCCGGCUUGCUUAAAUGCGUGAAGCCGCGAGAUCGGAUCAGAGUGCCAAGUGGGCCAUUUUUGGUAAGCAGAACUGGCGCUGUGGGAUGAACCAAACGCGGAGUUAAAGCGCCUAAAUCGACGCUUAUGGGAUACCAUGAAAGGCGUUGGUAACUUAAGACAGCAGGACGGUGGCCAUGGAA